CCUCCUCGGGAACAGCCGGGAACAGCCGGAGCGACCGGCCCUUCCGGGACUGCCUGGGCCCGGAAGCCACGUGCUGAGGGCCCCCGUCUGCCCGGCCCUGGGGUUUUCUCCAGGGGCCCUCAGCCAGCGUGUGUGGGAGCAGAGAAGGUCAGAAUCAGACUACCCAGAGCGGGCAGGGGGCUUCUGCAGCCAGGGAGCCCAGAGGUCAAAGGAGUGAGUGCAGGGACAAGUCAUGCAAGGAAGUAAGCGGAGGCAUCAGGGACUGGAGGCCUGGGGGACCCUGAGACAGAGGGGGAGGGGGACGAUGGAGCCAGCCUGCCAGAGGUCAGUGGGAUGUCACGGUCUGAGAGCUCCCCAGGACCCACAGAAGCCCCUGGGACGGGGCAGCCAGCUGAAUGAGGGCUGAGGCCCAGGCGUGACAGGUGCAGCCUGAGUGGCUCCGGUGGAGGAUGCUGGGUCCUGGGGAUGCCGGAACCCCCCAUGAAGAGAUCUGUGAGCACCACCCUGGGCCAGAAAUUAUGCCCAGUCUCCCAGGGAAAGGAGCUCCUGGCUGACCCAGCCAGGGGAUGGGAGGGCAAAGGUGACGCCUGCAAAGGGGCAGUCGCCGACCCCACUGUGGCCUCCCAACUGCACCGUAUUUGCCCAUUGUCAUGGGUGUUCUUCCGGGGCCCUGCUCUCACCAGGGCCUCGCUCAUCUCUUUGCUGCCAGACACAGGUUUUCAGUUGUACACAGCAGGUGCAGAAGGUGAUGCUCCGAGAAGGGGCUGACCAGCCCGGGUCACCACCAGCACCAGCACCAACGCCCUCCGGCGCUACGGGCAGACUUGGAACCUGGGCUCCAACCGGCUUCUCUUUCCCCAGCAACGUAGCUGCCCACAUUUGGGUUUCUGCAGACUGAGAGUCCCUCUGUCACCAUCAGGGGCGCCUGCUCUCUGCCUGAGUCCAGCUCCACCCUCAAGACUGCCGCAUUAUUAUUAGCAACAGCCCACGUCUGCACAGGGCUUCGCAGGCUCCCGCUUGCCCAGGGAGGACUUGCAGGCAUUGUCUCACUUGAGCCACCUGGCCACACUGGGAAGUGAAAUGUACUGUGCCCAUUCUGCAAGGGGGGAAACUGAAGCUCAAAACUAUGAAGCAUCCAUUGAACCACACCAACAGAACUCUGUCCGACCAGCUGCUACUGCGCUGGGCUCCAUAGACGACAACGUUACACUUCACAGGGACUCUGUCUCCCAAGAAGGGACCAUCUGUAGGAUACAAUGUGUGUACACUCCAAGCCCUUGUAGGAGACCUCAGUGUGGAGACUUUGGAGAAAAACCAUGGCGAGCCUCGGGGGCAGAAGCCAAGGUCAUUCCUAGUCCAAGUUCCGGGGAGCUGGACGAGGGAGCAUUUAAACUGGGUUUGAAGGCUAUGGAUUGGGGGCUGGCGCUGUGGCACAGUGGGCUAAGCCUCUGCCUGCAGUGUUGGCAUCCCAUAUAGGCUCAGGUUCGUGUUCUGGCUGCUUCUCUUCCGAUCCAGCUCUCUGCUGUGGCCUGGGAAAGCAAUAGAAGAUGGCCUAAGUCCUUGGGCCCCUGCAUCCGCGUGGGAGACCCGGAGGAAGCUCCUGGCUCCUGGCUUCGGAUCGGCGCAGCUCCGGCCAUUGUGGCCAUCUGGGGAGUGAACCAUUGGAUGGAAGACCUGUCUCUCUCUCUCUGCCUCUCUGUAACUCUACCUCUCAAAUAAAUAAAUAAAUAAA